AAAGUUUGAGCUAGAGACUUAUUUCUAUGGCCUCUCUCUAUUUUCUCUAGAGAGAAUUUGUUCUGUUUUUUUGUUUUUACUUAGAAGUUCAGUCUCUUCCUUUUUACUUGCACUGAGGCUUCCCCUACUCUUAUUGGGCAAGGGAAGCUCCUUCCCUACCUAGUUUUGGGCUUGCACUCUUCUCGCUACUUGGUUAGGAUGUAAAUAGUUCUUUUGUUUUUUGGAUUGUUUGGUUGCA
rnacentral:misc_RNA from 1 species